UACUGUUGGGCUAGAGUGCAGCAGAGGGAGGUGGAAUUCCCGGUGUAGUGGUGAAAUGCGUAUAUAUCGGGAGGAACACCAGUGGCGAAGGCGGCCACCUGGCUCGACACUGACGCUGANGCGCGAAAGCGUGNGGAGCAAACANGAUUAGAUACCCUGGUANUCCACGCUGUAAACGAUGGGCACUANGUGUUGGUCNCGCUACGGGCGGGAUCGGUGCCGCAGCUAACGCAUUAAGUGCCCCGCCUGGGGAGUACGCUCGCAAGGGUGAAACUCAAAGGAAUUGACGGGGGCCCGCACAAGCGGUGGAGCAUGUGGUUUAAUUCGAUGCAACGCGAAGAACCUUACCGGGGCUUGAACUGCUAGUUAAACCCCAUGAAAGUGGGACUGCUCUUCGGAGCGAACUAGUAGAGGUGCUGCAUGGCUGUCGUCAGCUCGUGUCGUGAGAUGUUCGGUUAAGUCCGGCAACGAGCGCAACCCUUGUUCCUAGUUGCCAUCAGGUGAUGCUGGGCACUUUAGGAAGACUGCCGGCGAUAAGCUGGAGGAAGGUGGGGAUGACGUCAAGUCCUCAUGGCCCUUACGUCCCGGGCUACACACGUGCUACAAUGGCUGGUACAACGGGUAGCAAGACCGCGAGGUGGAGCCAAUCCCUUAAAACCAGUCUCAGUUCAGAUUGCAGUCUGCAACUCGACUGCAUGAAGUCGGAAUCGCUGGUAAUCGCGGAUCAGCACGCCGCGGUGAAUACGUUCCCGGGCCUUGUACACACCGCCCGUCACGCCAUGGAAGUUGGCAGUACCCGAAGUCGGCAUACGCCGCCGAAGGUAAGGCCGAUGACUGGGGCGAAGUCGUAACAAGGUAACCUUAAUUAAAA
rnacentral:rRNA from 1 species